UGCCAGCAGCCGCGGUAAUACGGAGGAUGCAGGCGUUAUCCGGAAUCACUGGGUUUAAAGGGUGCGUAGGCGGCGUUGUAAGUCAGAGGUGAAAGCCCACCGCUCAACGGUGGAACUGCCUUUGAUACUGUAAUGCUUGAAUCAGGCUGAGGUCAGCGGAAUGUGUCAUGUAGCGGUGAAAUGCAUAGAUAUGACAUAGAACACCAAUUGCGAAGGCAGCUGACUAGACCUUUAUUGACACUGAGGCACGAAAGCGUGGGGAGCGAACAGGAUUAGAUA
rnacentral:rRNA from 1 species